rnacentral:rRNA from 1 species
UACAGAGGUCUCAAGCGUUGUUCGGAUUCAUUGGGCGUAAAGGGUGCGUAGGUGGCGGGGUUAGUCAGGUGUGAAAUCUUGGAGCUUAACUCCGAAACUGCAUUCGAUACUGCCGUGCUUGAGGACUGGAGAGGAGACUGGAAUUUACGGUGUAGCGGUGAAAUGCGUAGAUAUCGUAAGGAAGACCAGUGGCGAAGGCGGGUCUCUGGACAGUUCCUGACGCUGAGGCACGAAGGUCAGGGGAGCAAACGGG